GACAGAGGAGCCAAGCGUUGUCCGGAUUGACUGGGCGUAAAGCGCACGCAGGCGGCUCGGCGCGUGGGGUGUGAAAGCUGGCGGCUUAACUGCCAGAUGCCAUCCCAUACGGCUGGGCUCGAGCCCUGCAGACGGUCCAUGGAAUUGCCGGUGUAGUGGUGAAAUGCGUAGAGAUCGGCAGGAACACCCAGGGGGAAACCGAGUG
rnacentral:rRNA from 1 species